rnacentral:tRNA from 2 species
GGGCUUUUAGCUCAGUUGGGAGAGCGCUUGCUUCGCAUGCAAGAGGUCAGCGGUUCAAAUCCGCUAAGGUCCA